AUUGAACGCUGGCGGCAUGCCUUACACAUGCAAGUCGAACGGCAGCACGGGUGCUUGCACCUGGUGGCGAGUGGCGAACGGGUGAGUAAUACAUCGGAACAUGUCCUGUAGUGGGGGAUAGCCCGGCGAAAGCCGGAUUAAUACCGCAUACGAUCUACGGAUGAAAGCGGGGGACCUGCGGGCCUCGCGCUAUAGGGUUGGCCUAUGGCUGAUUAGCUAGUUGGUGGGGUAAAGGCCUACCAAGGCGACGAUCAGUAGCUGGUCUGAGAGGACGACCAGCCACACUGGGACGGAGACAGGGCCCAGACUCCUAAGGGAGGCAGCAGUGGGGAAUUUUGGACAAUGGGCGAAAGCCUGAUCCAGCAAUGCCGAGUGUGUGAAGAAGGCCUUCGGGUUGUAAAGCACGUUUGUCCGGAAAGAAAUCCUUGGCCCUAAUACGGUCGGGGGAUGACGGUACCGGAAGAAUAAGCACCGGCUAACUACGUG
rnacentral:rRNA from 1 species